rnacentral:rRNA from 1 species
ACACGGGGGUGACCUACCCUAAAGUGGGGCAUAACAAUCNGGAAACCGAUGCUAAUACCGCAUGUGCUGGUCGCUCUUGUGAGAUUAGUAAAGGAUCGGCCGCCUUAGGAUGGGCCCGCGGUACAUCAGCUAGUUGGUGGGGUAAAGGCCUACCAAGGCGACGACGUAUAGCCGGCCNGAGAGGGCGAUCGGCCACAGGGGCACUGAGACACGGGUCCCACUCCUACGGGAGGCAGCAGUUAGGAAUCUUCCACAACGGGCGAAAGCCUGANGGAGCGACACUACCUGAAGGAUGACGGUCUNAGGAUNGUAAACUUCUGAACUAGGGACGAUAAUGACGGUACCUAGGUAAUAGCACCGGCUAACUCCGGGCCAGCAGCCGCGGUAAUACGGAGGGUGCGAGCGUUAUCCGGAAUCACUGGGCGUAAAGGGCAAGUAGGCGGU